UGAGGCCUGUAGGUGCCCGCAUCCUCCAGAUCCCCCCCGCAGCCGACUCCGCAGUGGUCCGCUCCGGUUGCCUGGUGCAGAUUUGCGUUCCAAACGGAAGGCUGCGGAUUCUCUGCCUGUUAUUGUGGCCCCGACAGGCUAUGGUUACUUUGGCCACCGCCAGAGCAGCCUUGGCACUAUGGAGGAGCCCGGGGCUACCCCUCAGCCUUACUGGGGGCUGCUCCUGGAGGAGCCACGCAGGGUUGUGGCAGCACUGCCUGAAGGCAGGAGACCAGAUUCAACUCCUUAUGGUUUUCCAUGGGAAUUGGUGAUAUGUGCAGCUGUCGUUGGAUUUUUUGCUGUUCCCUUUUUCUUGUGGAGAAGUUUUAGAUCGGUUAGGAGUCGGCUUUAUGCGGGAAGAGAGAAAAACCUUGCUGACGCGCUUUCUGGACUAAUUGAAGAAAAAUGUAGAUUACUUGAAAAGUUUAGCCUUGUUCAAAAAGAGUAUGAAGCCUAUGAAGUAGAGUCAUCUUUAGAGGAUGCCAGCUCUGAGAAGGAGGCAACAGAAGAACAAAAUUUGGAGGCAACCUGUGAAAAGCUGAACAGGUCCAAUUCUGAACUUGAGCAAGAAAUACUCUGUCUAGAAAAAGAGUUAAAAGAAGAGAAAUCUAAACAUUCUGAACAAGAUGAAUUGAUGGCGGAUAUUUCCAAAAGGAUACAGUCUCUAGAAGAUGAGUCAAAAUUCCUCAAAUCCCAAGUAGCUGAAGCCAAAAUGACCUUGAAGAGAUUUCAAAUGAAUGAAGAACGACUGAAGAUAGCAAUACAAGAUGCUUUGAAUGAAAAUUGUCAACUUCAGGAAAGCCAGAAACAGCUUUUGCAAGAAGCUGAAGUAUGGAAAGAACAAGUGAGUGAACUUAAUAAACAGAAAAUAACAUUUGAAGACUCCAAAGUACAUGCAGAACAAGUUCUAAAUGAUAAAGAAAAUCACAUCGAGACUCUAACUGAACACUUGCUACAGAUCAAAGAUUGGGCUGCUAUGCUGGAAGAAGACAUAACAGAUGAUGGUAACUUGGAAUUCGAAAUGAACAGUGAAUCAGAAGAUGGUGCUUACUUAGAUAAUCCUCCGAAAGGAGCUUUGAAGAAACUGAUUCAUGCAGCUAAGUUAAAUACUUCGUUAACAACCUUAGAAGGAGAAAGAAACCAAAUUUAUAUUCAGUUAUCUGAAGUUGAUGAAACCAAGAAGGAGCUCAGAGGGCAUAUUAAAAACCUUCAGACGGAACAAGCAUCUUUGCAGUCGGAAAACACACACUUUGAAAGUGAGAAUCAGAAACUUCAAGAGAAAGUUAAAGUAAUGACUGAAUAUACGUCAAGAAAAUGCAAUGAAACUCUACAGGAAAUUAAUAGUAGAGGAAAAUAACCAGUCAGAGAAUGAGAAACUUUCUAAAGUAGACGAAACGAUCAGCCAUAGCAGUGGAGAGCUGGAGACCUGCAGAAAGCGAGCCAAAGAUCUGGAAGAACAAUUUGAGAGAGUUCUUCAUUUUUAUCAAGGGAAGAUUAUUUCCUAUAAGAAAAAAGUAGAUGGUAAUUGUUUUGCAGCUUGGAUUGCUGAAAGAAACCUCAAUGAUUUAAGGAAAGAAAAUGCUCACAACAGACAAAAAUUAGCUGAAACAGAGUUUAAAAUGAAACUUUUAGAAAAAGAUCCUUAUGCACUUGAUGUUCCAAAUACAGCAUUUGGCAGACAGCAUUCCUCAUAUGGUCCCUCUCCACUGGGUCGGCCUUCAUCUGAAAUGAGAGCUUUUCUCUAUCCUCCAGCUUUGUCGGAGGGUCCACGGAGACUCUCACCUUCGCUUCCAGUGGGAGGAGGAAGAGGCCCAAGAGGCCCAGGGAAUCCUCUGGACCAUCAGAUUACCAAUGAAAGAGGAGAAUCAAGCUGUGAGAGGUUAACCAGUCCUCAUAGGGCUCCUUCUGACACUGGGUGCCUGUCGCCUCCGUGGGAACAGGACCGUAGGAUGAUGUUUCCUCCACCAGGACAAUCAUAUCCUGAUUCAGCUCUUCCUCCACAAAGGCAAGACACAUUUUAUUCUAAUUCUGCUAGACGCUCUGGACCAGCAGAACUCGGAAGUUUUAAUAUGCCUUCUUCGGAUAAAAUGGAUGGGUCAAUGCCUUCAGAAAGGGAAUCCAGUAGAAAUGAUACCAAAGAUAAUCUUGGUAAUUUAAAUGUGCCUGAUUCAUCUCUCCCCGCUGAAAAUGAAGCAACUGGCCCGGGCUUUGUUCCUCCAGCUCUCGCUCCAAUCAGAGGUCCAUUGUUGCCAGUGGAUAUGAGGGGCCCAUUCAUGAGAAGAGGACCUCCUUUCCCUCCACCUCCUCCAGGAACCAUGUUUGAAGCUUCUCCAGAUUAUUUUCCACCAAGGGAUGUCCCAGGUCCACCACGUGCUCCAUUUGCAAUGAGAAAUGUCUAUCCACCGAGGGGUUUUCCUCCUUACCUUCCCCCAAGACCUGGAUUUUGCCCCCCCACCCCCACAUUCUGAAGAUAGAGCAAGUUCCCUUCAGGGUUGAGUCUGCCUUCAAAUGAGCCUGCUACUGAAAAUCCAGAACCACGGCAAGAAAACUGACAAUAUUUUUGCUCUCUUCAAAAGUCAUUUUGACUGUUCUCAUUUUCAGUUGAAGUAACUGCUGUUACUUCAAUGAUUACACUUUGCUCAAAUUGAAACUUAAUGGAAUUAUAAUUCUCAGGAUAGUAGUUUGUAAAUAAGGAUGAUUUAAAUAUGAAUCUUAUGAGUAAAUUAUUUCCAUUUUAUUUUAUUCUAGAUAGUAUAACUAUUUUAACUUGAUUAAUCCACUAUUAUCUAAACAAUAGUGGGAGUUUUAUAUAUGUAAUCUUGCAGGUGGGGAGGUUUUAAAUUCUAAAGGCUUUGUCCUUAUUGCAAGAACUGUAUUUACUGUAGUUGUAGACAAAUGUGAAAGUAACUUUAUGCUUAAUUAAAUAAAUUUUAGUUGAUUUAAAAAUAUAUAUGGGUUGCAUUAUUCUUCAGGUAUGGAGAGACCGACAGAUCAAGAGUUGAUUGCCACUGAAAAGAUUGGUUGUUACUCACAGAUCCCAAGAGAAGGGAAAGUGCUGUGCCAUGCAGCACCAAAUAGGGAGGCACUAUGGUCAGCAAGAAGGCAGGAGUGAUGGAAAAACAUGGGCAGAGCCUUUAUGGUGGUUUCCACGGGAAGGAGUGAGUGAGGCAAAGUGAACAGGGUUAAGGUUAGCUAUUAUAGUUUGAGUAAUUUCAGCAGGCUCUGGGUAUAGGGGCUGUCCCUAGUUGUCUGAUACCUGGCCCUGGGGUGCUUGGGGCAGAGGAACAGUGGCCUAGAGUGUGUGAGUCCUGUGGAAGGCUGAUGAAGUAGGUAGCUGGGGGCAUGAGCUCUGGACUGGUUAGUUUGUGUUUGAAAAGCACGCUCAUGGGCAGGUUUACUGUCUGUAGGAAUUGGCUAACCCUGAGAGGGACAGACCUGCCAAGGUCACCAAGACCCUAGAUGUUAAAGCGUCAGAAUACAUAAAAAGACAUGGUUAAUAUGGUAUCAGAGCCUCUGUCUUCACGUGGCCUCUCAUGAAGGGCUCUAGAGUGAGCUCCCUUAAGGGAUGUCAAAGGCUGUUCAAGACAGCAGAAGCCACAAGGCCACGUAAAGCCUCAGCUUGGAAGUUACGCAACAGCACUUCUGCUGCAUCCCUUGGGUCAAAGCAAGUCACAGAUGCACCCCAGAUCCCUGCUCACGUCGAGAGGAGAGAGGAACAUUAACCGUGUGGGAGGGGAGGGUCAUUACAGUUGUUUUUGCAAACAACCUGCUACAGAAAGUGUGGCUUCAGAGCACUGCGAAGGCCUUUCUGAACAGACCAGAUCCAACAGGAAGAGCAGAAAGAAGCUGGGUUCCAGCUCGUUUGUCUUUGCUAGUGUGGAGUCAGGGUAUAGCUUCCCUUUCACUGUUGGUCCCCAGCAUCAAGGGUCAGUUGGGUGUUUGCCCGGGAGCCUGCAGGGACUGUUUGUACUUUUAGAGGAGGGUUGGCAUGGCUUUGGGUUGCUGUCUCCGAAACUGCCCCAGGGUCUGGGAUCCCGGGGAGUGCCUGCCUGGGCUGGCAGGGAGCCCAGGCCUGUUUGUAAACUGUUUGAAUGCCUCAGGGUCAGGGUCUCUCAUGGGCAUAUUAUUUUCUUAUCAGGAGUUAAAAUAACUCUAGAACUUCUCCCAUAGAAAUGCAGAUGCUUUAUUAUCAUGAAAGUACCGUUUGUAAAGCAUAUGGAAUUAGGCCAGUAACAACCAACAUUUGCUCCACACUUUAGGGCCCAUGAAGCACUUUCUCAUAUGUUCUUCCUUGUUCUUGCAGUCACCUGUGGUUAGGCCUCAUUGUCCUAGUUUUUCAUAUGAGAACACUGAAGCUCUAGCGGGGCUCAAAAUUGGCUUGGGGCCUUAGGAGUUGCCCUGGGCCCAAGGGUGGAGCUAUGGGAGCCCUACAAAGCCUGCCCCAUUUCAUGCCAUCGCUUCAGUGAAUCCCUUCUCUCCCCCAUACCUGCUCAUUCUGUGUGGCUGCACUCAUUAGAUUAUUUCACCCUUUGAAUUAGAUGCCUCAGGGAGUCCCCUGAGCGGGCUAAGUUAACCUUUGCAGGGGGUACUGACACCCCCAGGUACAGCCCAGCCCUGCAUGCUGCUUUUUGCUCCAGGGACCCCAGCCUGGUCCACUAUUUGCUGGGAGAAGAUUUCAGUCCCUCCAGAACACACAGCCUUUGAGGAGCCACAGCUCCCAGAGCCCGAGCCCCAAGUCACCACUGGGUGCAGUGCACGCUCCUCUGCUCUGCAGUGGUGGAGCUUCAUCCUGGUGAGUCAUUAGUUCUGCGUCUACAGGUGUCUCAGUGAGACGCCUACCUGUCUGCUUCACAGCCCCAGGUGAAGCCGUCAUUCUCAAUCCGGCUGGGGAAGAAAAGGCGGCAUCACAGCUGAGUUCCUCUCCAACAUAGAACCACGGGGCAUUGUCCUCAGACACACACUAAUAUGAACCCAGGCUAAUGAGGCAGAACCUCUCAAAAUAGCAUUCUGUUUCUUUGGAAACCAAGGUGUAGUUUUUUAAAUGCCACGUGGCCCUCGAUCACAUUUUGCAUUUCCUAGCACUUAUUCUACCAUUUUUACAGGGACCUGUGGCAGGCAGAGGGGCUCGGGGCAGCUUCCCUGCAGGAUUCCACUUCCUGCUUGGGUCGACCCCGCUGCUGCGAGGGAGGGCUUGCCCCUCGCCUCCCUGCUGUCUGGGUGUUUCCUUUGUGAAGGGAGGGACCUGGCCUGCUAGAAAACAUCUCAAAGCCCUGUCACAGAGGAACUCCAGCUUCCCUUAGGAUGCUCUGAAGAAGGUGCUUUCCAAAUGAGAGGGCCUCAGGAGGGCAGUGGCACCUCCCUGACUGGGUGAGUCAGGUGCGGCUCUAGCCAAGGUGAGUGGGGCCUGCUGUGUCCGAGGUGGCGAAAGCAGGCACUGAGACUGCUCCGGAAUCAUGGCUCUCUGAGGUUGUUGCUCUGAAGUCCUGCCUCUGGGCCCUCGUCCAGUGUCGUGACAGCUCUUUUCUCUGGAAGAGGACAGUCUCUCUCCCUGCACGAACUGCUUUCAGCCUGACAUUUCUUCUCCUGCUUAGGGCCGUUCUCUGUGGACUGCUUCGUGGUGUCUGCUGUUUUUCUUAGCUCAGUGCUUCUCAAUGAGGGUGCUUUUGACCUCCCACGGGGGCAUUUGGUAAUGUCCAGAGAUAUUUUACACAGUAACUACUGGAGGUGUGCUACUGGCAUCGAGUAGAGGCCAGGGAUGCUGCUAAACACCCCACAACACGCAGGACAGAUCCCCACACACCCCCACAGCAAUUCUCUAUUCCAAAAUGUAGUACUAAUUAGGUUAAGAAACCCUGCUAAUGAUGAUGUUCCCCUACCUGGUAAAUAAAAUUCAAGGUCUCAGCCUCCAGAUCAGUACAAAAUGGAUGUUUCUUGACUGAAAUGCUUGGAGCCAGAAGUGUUUUAAAUUUAGGAUUUUGGAAAAUUUUCAUUAUAUUUACUGGUUGAGCGUUCCCAACCUGAAAAUCUGAAAUCAAAAAUGCUCCAAUGAGCAUUUCCUUUGAGCAUGACCUUUGAGCAUCAUGUUGAUACUCAAAAAGUUGCAGAAUUUGGAGUAUUUCAGAUUUUUGGAUUGUUCAACCUGUACUUUUCACAGUAUCUUGAAAACGGACCGUGCUUAUCUUUCCUCUUUUGAUCUAGAGCCUCCUUUUCCACGUCCAUACCGUGAAUUCCUAUUCAAGCCCAGAGAAAAGUAUUCAUUACUGCUAUGCAUUAGCUACUGAAGGCCAGGUGAUGUUUUCCCAGAUCUAACUCCUCAUGAUCAUGAUCAUCAUCCUCAUCAACAAUUACCUUAGGGUCAUCAUAAGAAUUGCAUAUAAGCCAGUCACCAAGCAGUCGUCAGUCAUCUGCCUUUAGCCCAGUGCUACCUGAAUUCAGUUUCUGUCAUCAUGUAUUUCUUAAUUUCAAAAUAGGCAGCAGCAUUAAAUCUGGUCCAUGGGCUCAUUAACAUCAUCAUCAUCAUCAUCACCACCACCACCACCACCACCACCAUCAUUGUCAUCAUCAUUGCAAACCAGGCAACAAGCAGUCAUUAAGCUCAUGCUGAUUCUGAUGCUGAUGGUGAAUGAGAAGCAGCGCUGCAGAAAACCACCUCAUUCCUAGCGUCCCAGGGCCACAGGUGCUCUGUGUUAGGUUGAGUGUUCACUUGUCCAGUGUGAAUGUAUUUUUGUUAAGAGUUAUUGGCAUCUGAGUUUCUGGUGACCAGGUGCUUCUUUCUAAACACACACACACAAACACACACACGUGGAAGACUGUUGGAGAAACCCAAAUGGUGUCAUAGGAGGCAGGUGGGAGAAGACACUUUGGUUGCUCAACCAGGUAUGAUUCUGCCAGACAAAAGACCCUAUAGGUUCUUUUUUCUGCCCCACCACUGCCUCAUUAUGGCUAUGAUAGGUUUAUUGAAGCUAAAGCUUGGGCACUCUGGGGCAGCCUUUGCCCCACACCCACACGAAUCUUUUUCCUUUUUCAAUUGCCAUUGAAGUCUGGAAAUAGCACUCUGCCUUUUCCUCUGGCCCCAUGGAAACUGGGACUUCUGGGUGUUUAACUUAGCAUCUGACUCCAUUAGAUGCUCAGGGCUUCCUGCACUUACACCUAGAGAUUGGGAAAAGGAGUGUUCUGGGGAAAGCAGGGGGGACCAGUUUGCUGUCUAUUUGGUGGCUUUCCCUGUACAGUGGAGAGAGCAGCCAGAACCUGAAUUGACAACUGAGACAUUGUCAUCUGAUGUAGAGUCUCUCUUCCCUCCCUGACCUCGUUCCUGUACCGCCUCUCCCUCCCUCCCACUUCCAACAGUGCACUUAGGAAUGAGUUAUGAAGUGUCUUAUUGGAAAGCAAGACUUGAAUAGCAAUGAAGGGCAGACACUAUAGUUAGUUAUUAUUGAUCAUCUCUACCUGCACUUUCUAUAUUUGCAAGCACUUUUCGGGACUUAGUGAGUAAUAAAUAAAGUGUCUCUAGAUCACCUUGCUGCUUCCCACUGCUGCUGCCUCGUGUAUGCCGUUCUAGUUGUGUACCCACUGGAUACACACACUAAGGAGGUGAGACCUUCGAAAGAAAUGCAAAAUAUUUCCACAAUUGUGUUGGUGUACAAACUGACCUGUCAAAACCAAAACUAAAUUUAGCUAGAUUAUAAUCAACACCCCCAGUGGAUGUUAUCGGUUCCUUGUCCAGGGCCCCUUUACCAGGCGGAGGCACUCAUCUCCCAACUUUGAGUAUUGCUCACAGCAGCUGCCUGCUUCCUGAAGAACUGCCCUUGGCAGAGCAGAAGCCACCAUGCUAGGAAGUUAUCCACUCCCUCGGCAUCCCAUAGCCAAUAACUGAUUGCCAUCAGGGCUGUGUUCGUUAUCUGUGUCUCAAAAUAAAUUACUCCAAAACUUA